rnacentral:lncRNA from 1 species
AUGCAGAAUAAACAGAAGCACACGAUCAAGAGUGUGUCUAACUCCUCUCUUCUGGAAAUGACGUGUCUUGAAAUGCUUGAUCUGACAGUCGCGCCCUCUCAAGAAAGAAGUAUCACAGAGGAAAGGCAAGUACAUUUAAUGAGCUCGGUUCACUGCUGGGUCACACCAGAGCAGAAGGACGAGACCUCCAUUGCUGGGAAGACCACCCAGAGAGGAGAAAGCUGCGCUUGCCCAGGAGGGAGAGCAAUUGUAUGGACAGGAAAGCAGGAAAGUACCUUUGAUAUCCAGGAGUCCAGAGGUGCUUACUUUCAGGAUGAAGGCCUGGCACAGCAUCUUCUGUCAUCACUGGGAGCCUUUCCUCUGACUUACAGAAAGGAGAGACUUAGGGACCAGUUGGUUAGGAGAAACAAAAGAGGAAAGAAGAGAGAGAGAGAUAAGGAGAAUAAUGAAGAAAAGAAAAAAAAGUAAACAAGAAG